UGUGAUAUUCUUUAAGUGGCAGUACUGCA
rnacentral:piRNA from 1 species